ensembl:lncRNA
GAAUUUCAUUCAGCCUGCUUAUGUAACAUGCAUGUCCGUUUUUCGUUCAGAGCUGAGGGCCGGCGAUGGUCUCUGGCCUCCCUGCCCUCGUCUGGCUAUGGAACCAAUCCACCGAGCUCCACUGUCUCGUCCUCUUCAUCAUCCCAGGAGCGUCUUCAUCAGCUUCCCUACCAGCCAACACAAGAUGAACUGCACUUCCUCUUCAAACACUUCCGCAGCACAGACAGCAUGACAGAUGAGGAUGGACGCCCCUCGCCUGUCAUACGACCUCGGUCCCGCAGCCUCAGCCCUGGGCGUUCAAGUGUCUCCUUCGAUAAUGAGAUAGUCAUGAUGAACCACGUUUACAGAGAGCGUUUUCCAAAGGCCACAGCCCAGAUGGAGGAACGCUUGUUAGAGAUAGUCACCCACUAUUCUCCAGACAGCUCCCUCCCGCUGCCUGACGGGGUACUGGGCUUCAUCCAGCACCAGUUGGUGGAGCUGGUCAGAGACUGUCUGGAUAAGUCUCAGAAAGGUCUGGUUACUUCCCGCUACUUUGCUGAGCUGCAGGAAAAGCUGGAAAAGCUGUUUCAUGAGGCCUACGAGCGCUCUGAAAGCGAGGAGGUAACUGUCAUCACCCAGCUGGUUAGGAAGAUCCUCAUCAUAAUCUCUCGGCCGGCUCGCCUCCUUGAAUGUCUGGAGUUUGACCCGGAAGAGUUUUAUCACCUACUUGAAGCAGCAGAGGGUCAUGCCAAAGUCGGCCAGGGAAUUAAGACGGACAUCCCGCGCUACAUCAUCAGCCAGCUCGGCCUGACGCGGGACCUGAAACUUUUUACUAUUAGGUUUAAAGAUGGUAGGUCUAAUGUAGGUUGCGUGAUGUUCAACAGGGCCGUGUAUCUGGUCCGUCACAAGGAGACUCGUCAGCGAUUUGCCAUGAAAAAGAUAAAUCGUCAGAACCUGGUGCUAAGGAAUCAGAUUCAGCAGGCAUUCGUGGAGCGGGACAUCCUAACCUUUGCUGAGAACCCUUUUGUUGUCUCCAUGUUCUGCUCUUUUGAGACACGGCGUCAUCUUUGCAUGGUCAUGGAGUAUGUAGAAGGUAAACAAAAGCUUUUUUUCUCACAGAUUACACAUACAUAUAUAAUCUUUUUUUGUCUUUUGCCACUUGACAGUUUGCUGAUAACCUCCAUGGGUCACAUCAAGCUGACAGAUUUUGGCCUGUCUAAAAUUGGACUGAUGAACAUGACCACCAACCUGUACGAAGGUCACAUUGAGAAAGACACAAGAGAAUUUGUUGACAAACAGGUAUGUGGCACUCCAGAGUACAUUGCUCCAGAGGUGAUCCUUAGGCAGGGCUAUGGGAAGCCAGUGGACUGGUGGGCAAUGGGGGUCAUUCUUUAUGAGUUUCUGGUUGGCUGUGUUCCAUUUUUUGGAGACACCCCUGAAGAGCUUUUUGGACAAGUUGUUAGUGAUGAAAUAAUUUGGCCAGAAGGAGACGAUGCCCUACCUACUGAUGCACAGGACCUGAUUACUCGUCUGCUGAGGCAGAACCCUUUAGACCGAAUUGGAACAGGUGGAGCCUCAGAGGUGAAGCAGCAUCCUUUCUUCCUGGGUUUAGACUGGAAUGGACUUCUCCGACAGAAAGCAGAGUUCAUCCCUCAGCUGGAGGCGGAGGAUGACACCAGCUAUUUUGACACUCGGUCAGAACGCUACCAUCAUUUGGCAUCUGAUGAGGACGAAGAAACCAAUGAUGAAGAGUCUUCCCUAGAAAUUAGACAGUUUGCUUCCUGGUCACAUCGCUUCAGUAAGGUUUACAGCAGCACAGAACAUCUGGCAACACCUUCCAACUUGAGCUUCUCAUCAGACCGCAGUCACAGUGAGGACAAGGAGGACCGCACAGAUACAGGAGGACAAGGCCCCUCCUCGAGCCCAGCAGAAAGGAAUGUUGAGCCCAGAAAUUCUGGACCUGAGGUGGUGGUGUCAAACCUUCGGAGAAUCAGAAUUCGGAGCAACAGCACUGGGGCUAAACACUCAUCCCCUAAGGACCCAGCAGGCCCUCGGCGCUUCGGUAACCAGCUGGAAACACCAGACAGGCAGAGGCUUCCCUGUGGAGGAAAGGUUCCAAAGUCAGCCUCUGUCUCUGCAUUGUCUCUCAUCAUUACUACAGAUGACUCUCCCAGUGGCCUCCAGCCCAGUCCCAUUUCGCCACGUUCACUUUCUUCCAACCCCUCAUCUCGUGACUCGUCCCCUAACCGAGAUCUGUUCUUCAGCCCCGGCAGCCUCAGGCCACCAAUCGUCAUCCACACCUCAGGGAAGAAGUACGGCUUCACCCUGCAGGCCAUCCGGGUCUACAUGGGUGACAGUGAUGUGUACACUGUGCAUCAUAUGGUGUCGAGUGUGGAGGAGGGCAGCCCAGCUCACCAGGCAGGUCUCUGCACUGGAGACCUCAUCACCCACGUGAACGGAGAGUCUGUCCAAGGCCUGGUCCACCCAGAGAUGAUAGAACUGCUACUGAAGAGUGGCAGCAAGGUGGCUCUGCAGACCAUAGCACUGGAGAACACGUCAAUCAAAGUUGGCCCAGCUCGAAAAACCAAACACAAAGGCAAGAUGGCACGUCGCAGCAAGAAGAGCAAGAGGAGAGAUAAUUACGACAGUUGCUCAUCAUUAUUUAAGUUAUCCAAGCAGAGUACAGUGAUGCACAGCAGUCGCAGCUUCUCCUCAGGCCUCCAUCACUCAGUUUCCUCCAGUGAGAGUCUUCCAGGCUCCCCGACACACAGCCUCUCCCCUGGUCCUUCCACACCCUGUCGGAGCCCUGCACCUGACCAUCAGGGCUACAACACUCCUUGCUCUCCUCAGAGCACAUCUCCUUGCUCCAGCUCUCCUAGCUCCCCUGCUGCACACAUCCGGCCCAGCUCGCUCCAUGGCCUGGGAUCCAAACUCAGCACGCAACGCUACACCAAGGUUGGCCGUCGGAAGUCGACCAGUAACAUCCCUCCAUCCCCGUUGGCCUGCAACUCCUCCUCAUCUUCUAACCAGCCUCUUUCCCCAGCCUGGCAGCCAGGCAGUGGGGAGCGCUCACCGUCCCCACUUCCAGGCUUUGCCAAAACUCUUCACACCUUCCAUGGCAAAACCCUGUCACCACCCACCAUUGUUAGACAUGUUGUUCGGCCCCGCAGUGCUGAACCACCCCGGUCUCCACUGCUCAAGAGGGUGCAGUCAGCUGAGAAGCUGUCUGGAGUUUAUCAUGUUGACAAGAAGUCAUACGCUCCCCGCAGACACACACUGGAAGUGCCCUUUUACUGUGAAGGUGACCUGCUGGGUGACUCCGAGGUAGAGGGGGCUUUUGGGUGCUCCUACAUUGGGGCUGACCACACCAGACUGGGGUGCUACAUAAGCAGUCAAAGGAUAGAACGGUCAGAGCAGCUAGUUGUGAUGCGGAAGCUCAACCUAUCAGAGCGGCGAGACUCCUUUAAGAAGCAAGAGGCAGUGCAGGAGGUGAGCUUUGAUGAGCCAGAGGAGAAAAAUGGCACCACAGUGACCACCGCAGCCCCAGGAGCCCAAACACAGUGUCAGCAGCAGCACAGGAUAGCCUGGAUGGCCACUCGACCCCAGAGCAGCCAGGAGGUGGAGCUGGAAGUCCCGGUGGUGAGGAGGUUUACAUUGGUGCCCCAAAUCGCCGUGCAGGGCUCAACAGAAAGUGAGGAGCAGGAUGAGUGGGAGCCAUGCUCAGAUGGAGAGGAAUCCACUGAUAGGCCUGAGCUGGAGGUGAGCAUCACUUCAAUUCAGCAGCAGCAAACAGGACAUCCUCUUGCUGACAGCAGCUGCAGUGAGGCAGAAACCACUUCCUCUGGUCCUGCACCAGCAUCAGAGAAACCUGAGUGCAGAGAGGAAAUGCCCCAAAAAGGGCCUUUGAGAAAAUGA